CUCGAACUCCUGACCUCAGGUGAUCCACCUGCCUCGGCAUCCCAGAGUGCUGGGAUUACAGGCGUGAGCCACCGUGCCCGGCCAACUACAUAAAUUCCUAACAACGUAUCUCCAGAAAGUAUAGGCACAACAGCACAUGCAGUCAUUCCUGUAAUUAAGUGCUCCGGGAGGCCAAGGCAAGAAGAUCCCUUGAGCCCAGGAGUUUGAGACCAGCCUGGACAACAUAGCAAGACUGUGUCUCUACAAAAUAUACAAAAAUUGGGCUGGGGAUGGUGGCUCACGCCUGUAGGCCCAGCACUUUGGGAGACCAAGGCAGGAAGAUCGAUUGAACUCAGGAGCUCGGGACCAGCCUGGACAACAUAACGAGACCCAGUCUCUACUAAAACUCAAGAAAAUUAGCCAGACGUGGUUGCAUGUGCCUGUAGUCCCAGCACUUUGGGAGGCCAAGGUGGGUGGAUCACCUGAGGUCAGGAGGUCGAGACCAGCCUGGCCAACAUGGUGAAGUCUCGUCCCUACUAAAAAUACAAAAAUUAGCCAGGCACGGUGGCACACACC
rnacentral:lncRNA from 1 species